CAAAAACAAAAUCUGAGUAGGUACAUAUAUUUAAUUUAGCAGUCGGAUUAAAAAUAUAUACGUUUGAAUCUACACAUUUUGUUAUCGGAAAGUACUUAAUGGUUGUACGAGCAAACAAAAAAGCGGUAUCAUUUACGUUGCGAUGACUGAAGAUAAGACUAUUGAGAUCGUAGAAUCUGCUCAGCAUGAAAUGCCGAUAGAAGAGAAGCAACCACAGUUUAAUCCGUGGCCUCAUUUGAAAGAUUAUUUUAAUUUUUCCAAGCGAAAUGCAAAAAACCAACUUCAACUCUUUUUUAAGUGCAAGCUUUGUGCCCCUAAAAAUACAACAAUCAAAGCACAUGUGAGCAGUUAUUUUAAUUUGAAAUCCCACAUGAGACGAAAUCAUCCGGCAAAUUUCGUAGCAUUUGAACAAUGUAUCAAAACAGGAAGUCUUCGGGGAAAGGAAAGAAAUGAGUGUGGUGCAAGUAAUACCGAUCUAUCUCUAACAAAACCAGGACAAACUUUGUCUUCGAAUAUGCGCCAAACUUUAUUUAAUAAAUACCGCACAAACUCCAGCGUUCAUGAGAAGCAAUCCACGUUUGACGAAAAAAUCGUCAAUUUUUACGUUCAAAAUAUGUUACCAUUUCACUCCGUGGAAUCCGAUUCAUUCAAAGAAUUGAUCACAACGUUAAACCCAAAAAUGUCAUCCAUGUCACGUAGAACGCUUGGCAAAAGGAUUACUGUACAAUAUAAGGAACUCGAGGAACUUUUGAUAAGAACCUGAGAAAAUAUCCAGUGGGUAUCUACAACGGCAGAUUGCUGGUCGGCACAUAAUCGAUCAUACAUCGGCAUGACAGUUCAUUGGUUGCAUCCGGAGACGCGUCAAAGACAGCAUGCUGUACUAGCAUGUUCACGAAUAACUGGUCAUCACACAUACGACGUUUUGGCAAGAGCGAUUGAUACGGUCCAUUGUAAAUUUCAUUUACAAGACAAGGUUUUGAGAACAACAACGGACAAUGGACGAAAUUUUGUAAAAUCUUUCAUUCAAUUUGGAUUAGAAAUAAGUUGUUUACCAGAAACACUUUCUGACGACGUCCACCAGGGAGAAAUGGAUUUGAAUAGUGAUUAAGGAGAGGAGCCAGUUGCAAUUCAAGAUAUUCUCACCGAAUCCUCUGAAAUUUCUCUUCCCAUGCACAUGAGAUGUGCUGCACACACGAUUAAUUUAAUCGCAACCGUUGAUGCGAACAAGGCACUCGAAAACAAUGCCUUUAGAAAUGCUUAUCGAAAAGCUAUGAGUAAGGCACAGGGAUUUUGGAACCUACAGAGUCGCAGCACCGCUGCUGCUGAUUUAAUAUCUACGGACUUAAAAAGAAGAUUGGUUGUGCCAAAUGCGACGCGAUGGAAUUCUAUGUUCGAUUCUGUUCGUGUUUUAAAUGAAAUUAUCAAAAACGAUCACAAAGCUGUAUAUAGAGUCAUGAUGCAGCUCAAGUUACCUACGUUCUCCGAGCAAGACGUUGGGUUUCUGAAAGAGUAUGAAAAGGUUAUGACCAUAAUAGCAAUAUCGCUG